UGAGGAUCAGGAGCUGCUUGCCAGGUCUGACUUUGUGACACUUCAGCCCCUCCUGCCUUCCUUCUCAAAUGGCUGUCCAGAGGAGGGGGACAAGCUGUGAAAGCACCAUGGUGAAGCCUUCCAUCUGUGCUACCUCAGCUUCCAGAGGUGUUUUGUUCAUGUGUCUGAAAGUUUCUCAUCUGAACAGCAGAGACUGCAAAAGUCAAUUCCUUCCCCCAGCUCAAGCCUCCUGCAAGGUGCUGUUUUUUGAAGCUGUCUUCUUCUCUGACUUUUGUGAGAAAAGCCAGAAUCUGUCAUCUUUUUUACACAUGAGCCUGUCCCACCCUGCAAACCCAGGAUCUUUGAAAAGCAAAUAUUGUAUGGACUGGUUUCUUGAUGUUUUGCAGCAAGGCAUCAUCAUCCUCUAUCCUUGGCUGGAGAUGCUCAUCUCUUCAUGACCCUCCAUUUCUGUAUUAAUUUGGGUUAAUUGCACAGGUGGCAUGUUCCUGUUGACAGGCCUGAGAACAAAUGCUGGAUGCUAAACACACCAAGGCAUUCAUGAUAUGUUAGCUCCACAGCACUGAAGACAGUUUCAUAACUUAAGACAAAUUCUACAAAUAGAUGCACCUGCUUAUCUGCAGAUGGAGAAUAUAAAGUGUGUUAUUACUGUGAAACUCCUGAAUGCAAUUUAUGUGUUUGCCUUACUCAUAAAUUAUAUUCGCAGGUUUAGAAUAAACAUCUCCAGCUUCACA
rnacentral:lncRNA from 1 species